GGGCAGACUGUAGAAAAGAGAGAGAGAGAGAGAGAGAGAGAGAGAGGACAGCGCGGACAUCUCUCCCCUUCAUCGAGAACGUCUGUAUAGCUGGUGGUGGUGCGCAAGAUGGAGGAAGGAGUGGCAGUUUGUUUUGGGGCCUGCGACGUGGCUGUCUUUAUAUUGUUGCGGGAGCCCGGUCUUUUCCUGUUCUUCGGCACUCUCUCGCUCUCUUCCUCUCAGCUCCAGACUGUUGGGCUUUAUUAACCCUCCUAAGCACGGGGGACCUAAGGGAGGUCAGACAUCGGUCGUUAAAAAUCUAUUGUGACUCGUCGGGAAAAUGAAUAAAUGAGCACAUUAUUCCCCCCUUCGUGUUCCGCGCUGUUUGUCUAAUCAAGUGCGAGCGGCGGGCGAAGUCAAGCGGGGCUGACGCGCACAUUUUAUUUAAGUUUUUUGGUCUGUCAGAGGAGCUUAGAGGUGUAAUGAAGAAAGGAGCGGUGAUUUGAAAUAUAAUCCCAUUACCCUGAUGAAAUUACAAAGACGGUGAGAGUUCACAAAUCACACGCUGUGUUUUCUAUCAGCAGUGAUGCCCCUGUUGAGGUGGUGGCACCCAAUGGAAACCGGCACAGCCAAUGAGAAGUGACAGCACUGUAACAGCACAGAGACCGCAGAGCAGGGGAGGAAAGCGGGCGUCUGGAUCCCUCUGCACCUCACGCUGGUGCUGCGUUUAGCUUAUCUCACUCGCUGAGGUCUUCACACCGACCACUUUCAUGGCAGGCUGUGUUUGUUUAAAAAAUCCACUUCAGUGCCAUAUUAAGAUGCCUUUAAAUAAAGACUAAAUGUUAUAUGUAGGCUGCACUUUGUGAUAAAUAUAUUUAAAAUAUAUAAUGAAAAUAUUGAAUUAUAAUAAUAAUAAUGACAAAUUGUUAUAAGACCUCUUUUUAUAUUAUAAACUAUAAAAAAUACUCAAAAUUUUUCACAAAAAAAAAUUUUUAAUUAAAAAAUGUAUUUUCUAUAACUUUUUCAAUUCUUGAAACCAAACAAGCUGAGGCUUUUUCACAUAUCUAGGUUUUGUAAGAACAUAGGAAUCCUGGUUCUUUAAAGACAAAUGUUGUUGAGGGGUGAAAUAAAAUAAGAAGUAUUUUGAAUUUGAGUGGUUUUAGCUUAUUUUAGUUAAUUCAUUGAUUAAUUCAUAAGACUUCUUGAAGCCCCUUUGAACCCCUGGUUUAGAAGCGCUGCUUUAGAAACAUAACUGGGGUUUCAUUUAUUAAUAUUCAUGCAUCAAUAUUUUUACUUUGUGUACAAAAUGUGCUCACAUGAACAGGUGUAUUCUUUCAGAACUAAUUAAAUUAAAAUUACCUGAUUUUUUACUUAUUUUUAGGAUGGUCAAGUGUUUAUUCAAAGGGCUAUGCUACAAAAGAGUUAAAAAUAUAUUUUUCUCACAGUAAUGACUGAAAUUAUUUUUGUUUAUUUCAUUAUUUUAGAUUAUCAUAGUCAUAAAUGUCAUGAUUUAUAUUUGUAUCAUGGAAUUUAAUAGUUUAAGAUUGAAAGUAUACAUAAAAGGUGUUUAAAAGUAGCAAAACUGGUCAUUACUUUUUUUUUUUAAGUCACAUAAAAAUUAAUAAGACCGAUCUCUUGGCCAACUGUUAGUUCGUUGAACUAGUUUUUAAGUCUUAACAUAAUGGCUGUAUUUAUGCAACUAGGCCAUGAUUGUGAUAAAAAUCAACCCCUGGGGCAUGAAAGUGCUUGAAGUAAAAGAAACCCUCAAGUUUAAAUUCACUGACUCAACAUGCAGUAAUUACUGUAUUAAAAUGCUCCCACACAAAUACAUGUGUACAUACAGUUAGUGACCCAAUGUGUGCAGAAAUAAAGAUACGUCAAACCCAGUGACCAUGUUAGUGAGACAUCUGUGUGGUAAUGGAAAGAUUAUGUGCGUCCUCUCUCAGGUACUUGCUGUGUAAUCUCACAGUUCAAUCUGAGGCAAUCCCAGCGAAGUGGGUAUUGUAUUAUUUGUGAGCGUGGAAUCCACAUACCCUCUUUGAUUUUCCAAUUUGAUAAGGCCAAUGCGAGCUAUUCAUUCCUCAGGAAAUAAAAUACAGUCACAUUCCGGAGGGUGUGGGGGGUAAAUAUUAUCUUUCAGAGUUCCCCUGUCUGUUCUUUCUCAGAGUUUCUAGUUUAAUUGGUUGCCUCACGCGCCCUUUAGGAGAACAUUACAGAGGGCUAAUAAUGCUCAAAUCUACAUCUGCCUAUAAAAUGCUAGCCAUUUUUAACACUAAUGAAGUCAAUAGUGUCUUGGUGGGUGUUAAGAUGUGAGUGUGCACAUGAAAUGUGGAUUAGACUAUGGUGCAAGAGUAUGGCAUGCCACAGAUUGCCCUUUCUCAGAAUAGAGUUGUAUGGAGGUUAUUUGUGUCUAAUUGGUGUGGUGGAAUGAUAAUGACUUGACUGAAAUGCCCUUUUAAGCAUCGCAAGCUCACACGUUGCUUCUCCAUUGCCCCGGCGCUCGUGACUUAUUGACCACAUGAACACGUUUCAGGACUAUAAUGUGGAAACUUCUUCAAUAAUUGCAUUAUGUAUUGCAGCUGUCUCCAAUUAGGCCCAACUGUACAUUACUGAUGAAUGUUGAAUUUUCGAGUCCUACAUAAUGCAACUAGUUGCAAUACUUGACCGCAUGUGGAAAGCAGACCAAGCGACAUUCAUAAUGAGCAUUGCCAAAAGAAUAUUUGUGCUUAAAGAGACACUCUGAAAGCCAAAUCUCAACUUAUUGGCUUGUUACUGACCAGUCAAGUUUGAAACUUGAUUCGCUCCUCUAUUGCGUGCAUGCGACAGCUAAUCAUGUGAAUGGGAGAAGUAUAGAACAAUAUUUGGCUGGAAGCCUUAAGAGGCCAUUUAUUAUUAUUACUUUUCUUUCUUGUUUUGAUAACAACUUCAUUUUCCUGUGAUCUUGACAUGACGUUAUAUUUUUAUGAUCACAACAUCAUUUUCUCAUGAUCUUGAGAUAAAAGUUGUUUUCUCAUUAUCACAGCCUAAUUUUCUCGUAAUCUUGCCAUGACAAAAGUUGUUUUCCCACAGCAGUACUAACUGUAGACUAACCAAAUGAAAUAAUAAAAUACUGUAUAAAUAAAGCAUUCAGGCUGUCAUCAAAACAUAAGUCUAUUUUGAUCAGAUGUCAUACAUAUAAUGGUCAGAUAGCCUAUCCUAUAUGAUGAAUAAAACGAUUUAGAGUAGUUUUCUGAUAGCACUCCGUCUGCGCUUGCUGUGUUGAAUGCUCUGUUGUCAAACUAUUUAAACAUAAUCAAACAGCAACUGUAAAAUAAAAACAAUCACAAGAAAAUUAAAGGGUUAUUUUACCCCAAAAUUAACAUUUUGUCAUUAAUUACUCACCCUCAUAUCGUUCCAAAGACGUAUGACCUUUGUUCAUCUUCGGAACAUGAACAAAGAUAGUUUUUGAUGAAAUUCUAGAGCUUUUUGACCCUGCAUAGACAACAACGUAACUGACAUGUUCAAGGCCCAGAAAAGACAUCGUUAAAAUAGUCCAUGUGACAUCAGUGGUUCAACCAU
ensembl:lncRNA